GACAUGGAAACAGCUUGUAUUUUCAUGGAAGUUUAACUUGGAAGACAGAUAACCAAUUUUGGGUACUGGUAACCUCAAUAUGGGACACAGAUGUAAAACAUAUAUUCAAUUUUUCUGAAUCAAUUAUUCAAAGUGAACCACAGCCAAGGUAGCUCAGGAAUAGAACAAUGACCAGGAGCCAGCUUAAGCUUCUCAAGUGCUUCAAAUAAUUCAUCAAAUAACAUUUAUAACAAAUAUUCAUUAAAUAACUAUUCACAUACUCCUGGACUUUAACCAAACAAUAUAUAUAUGCAAAGGCUUAAAACAAAGUUCAUACUUAAACAUUGGCAGAUGCCAAAAGUCUUCCAGAAAGGGGGUUCAAGCCAGUCGGAAAAGUUGCCCUGUGUUCAUCUCAUUUGGGAGUCAUGUAUUCUGCAGCAACUUUAUAACAUGUAAAACAUGAUUCAGGAGAAUAGUUUCCACAUUGUACACUUAUUUCACUUCUCAGUAACACUUCAUAACUACAGGCUACUCAAUAAAAAUCUGACUGCAAUAGGAUUCUUUUGAUUGGCUUACCAUAUCCCUCAGAUUCAUAGUCAUGGGUGUGCUGGCUGGAAGUGAUCACUGGUACAUCUGGGCCUGUAUCACUUAAGAAUCAGGACUACGGCCAGUUUAAGAUUAGAUCAGAUGUUGCUUCUGAGUUCUUAAAACCUCUAGGGAUGAAGGGUCUCUGACCACUCUGGGUAACAUGUUCCAAUACUGCAACAUCCUCCCAGUGAGGAAUUUUUGCCCUGAUGUUUAACCUGAACUAUACAAGCUGCAAUGUGUGACUAUUGACCCUUGCUAUACAUUUGCUACUAUUGCUAAGAGUUUAUCUCAGGCUUUUCUGUAACUCCUGGCCAUGUAGCUUGAUGCUGUUACUUAGCCCCAGAUCCCACCUUCAGCAGGCUAGAGUAGUCCAGUAGAGUAGACCCUGAUCAUCAAGUCUUCAACCUGACCAUCACUGUUUUCUCACCUUCUCCCCUGAACUGGAGAGUUCUCAAACUGGAAACUAUAUGAAGUGUGACUUCACCAGUGCUGAAUUAUCACCUUCCCUUGGCCACACCACCGCAAAGGCUUCUGCCAUGCUGUUGGUGGUGCUUGCAAGGAAAACAGCUACUAGCUCUUACACUUGGCAUCUGCUGUGACCCCAGGUCUUGUUCAACUGGCAGCUGUUAGGACAUUCUGUCCUCAACCUGCUGGUGCCUGCUGCUGCUGCUCCUCAGAUAAGGAGCUUUGGAUUCCUCUUUCUGCACUUCAGGAGGUUUCUCUUGGCUCAAGAUGUAUUGGAACAUAGCUCAGCUCUUCAGUAUGUUAGGUAUUCCCUUAGUUUAGCAUCAUCUGCAAAUUUGCUAAGGGUACAUUCUGUCCCUAGUGUUGAGUAAUUAAUAUUAAUACAAGCUACAGGAGUUAGUACUGAUUAGUUGUUAUUCCAUAGUGCUCCCAAAGCUCAAGUGAGAAAAAUGAAACAUCUCAGUCAGGAUUUCUAGUUGUCAAGAAAGAAUAAGUAUGGAAUGUCAGAGUCCACAAGGCAGAAACAUCUGCUGAAUAGUUCUUGCCUGUUGCAGCAUAGAGCGCUCAAGAGGAGUGCAAAACAAAGGGAUAAAAAGACAUAGUCUAAAAGAAUCAAUAAGAGCAGAACAUAUACACUAACUAAUAAAAUAUGGAUAAGAAGUGGCAAGGUGAACAAUUUUUAGCAUUUUUAUCUAGUCUACAGCAUUUGUAUUCUAGCAGACUAUGACUCUGCAUGGGUUCUAUCUGCAAACAUUUGAAUUCUUCACUGUGAAUUUAUCCUCCCCAGUGACUAAUAUUCCUUGGAGAUACCUCAAAAGUAGAAACUGAAAACAGGGCUUCACAGUAUCAAUUCUUUUCACCAUGGGUUCCUCCUUACAGUUAAAGAAUCAAUUUUUCUUUGCCUGGAGAAUAUUUUCCCAUGUGAGUCAGGACUGAUAAUAUCUUGUGGGAUAAAGUGUAGUUUUCUAGGAGCCAAGCUCAAGUUGCACACAG
ensembl:lncRNA